rnacentral:rRNA from 1 species
UACGUAGGGUGCGAGCGUUGUCCGGAAUUAUUGGGCGUAAAGAGCUCGUAGGCGGUUCGUCGCGUCGAAUGUGAAAACCCGGGGCUCAACUCCGGGCCUGCAUUCGAUACGGGCGGACUAGAGUUCGGUAGGGGAGACUGGAAUUCCUGGUGUAGCGGUGAAAUGCGGCAGAUAUCAGGAGGAACACCGAUGGCGAAGGCAGGUCUCUGGGCCGAUACUGACGCUGAGGAGCGAAAGCGUGGGGAGCGAACAGG